UCCAGGUCAUGUAACCUUGCUCACUGUUGUGGAAAGCCUGAGGAGCUCCACGAGGGGUUUAAAAGAGAGAUCUUCUUCUCCUGUUCAGCUGGCCUGACUGCUGAGAGCACAAGUGGACUCCAGCAAUCUGAAGGUCUCUUAACUGAGGCCACUGCAGUCGUCCCAGCUGCAUGCACAAUCUGAACUGACUGAGGCCACCUAGGAACAGCUUCCCUCUGGGUGCAGCAGCCUGUUUCACCACUUGGCAAAUACUUGAUUUUGAAAAUGUUUAGCUUUCAAUUAUUUCACCGUGAG
rnacentral:lncRNA from 1 species